rnacentral:rRNA from 1 species
CGCGCGAGUCAUUGGGACUUAUGCGAAACCUAAAGGCGAAAUGAAAGUAAAGGCGCGCCUUGCGCGCGCCGAGGGCGGAUGGGCGGCGGCUCGCCGCCGCCCCGCACGCCCGGGGCGUCCCGUUCUCAUCGCGAGUUGGGGCGCACCCAGAGCGCGCACGCUGGGACCCGAAAGAUGGUGAACUAUGCCUGGUCAGGACGAAGUCAGGGGAAACCCUGAUGGAGGUCCGUAGCGAUUCUGACGUGCAAAUCGAUCGUCGGAACUGGGUAUAGGGGCGAAAGACCAAUCGAAUCAUCUAGUAGCUGGUUCCCUCCGAAGUUUCCCUCAGGAUAGCUGGCGCUCGUUUUUACGAGUCUCAUCCGGUAAAGCGAAUGAUUAGAGGCAUUGGGGUCGAAACGGCCUCAACCUAUUCUCAAACUUUAAAUGGGUGAGAUCUCCGGCUUGCUCGAACUAUGAAGCCGCGAGACCUCGGAUCAGAGUGCCAAGUGGGCCACUUUUGGUAAGCAGAACUGGCGCUGUGGGAUGAACCAAACGCCGAGUUAAAGCGCCCAAAUCGACGCUUAUGGGAUAC